GCGCGGAGCACGAGGAAUUCUGCGUGAAUCUGCCGGGACCAUCCGGUAAGGCUAAAUACUCCCGAGAGACCGAUAGUGAACCAGUACUGUGAAGGAAAGGUGAAAAGCACUUCGAACAGAAGAGUGAAAUAGUUCCUGAAACCAUGUGCCUACAAGCGGUCGGAGCACCUUCUGGUGUGACGGCGUGCCUUUUGCAUAAUGAACCUACGAGUUACUUUUUCCGGCGAGGUUAAGGAUUUCAGAUCUGCAGCCGAAGCGAAAGCGAGUCUGAACAGGGCGUAUAGUCGGAAGGAGUAGACGCGAAACCAAGUGAUCUACCCUUGGGCAGGUUGAAGGAUGGGUAACACCAUCUGGAGGACCGAACCAAUAAGCGUUGAAAAGCUUCUGGAUGACCUGAGGGUGGGGGUGAAAGGCUAAUCAAACUUGGAGAUAGCUCGUACUCCCCGAAAUGCAUUUAGGUGCAGCCUUGACUUAUACUGGCAUGAGGUAGAGCGACUGAUAAGAUGCGAGGGCUUCACCGCCUAUCAAGUCUUGACAAACUCCGAAUGCGUGUCAGUUCUAUGUCAGGAGUGAGGGCAUGGGUGCUAAGGUCCAUGUCCUAAAGGAGAACAAUCCGGACCAACAGCUAAGGUCCCGAAAUGAAUACUAAGUUGAACUAACGAAGUCAGAUUGCUAAGACAGCUAGGAUGUUGGCUUGGAAGCAGCCAUUCAUUUAAAGAGUGCGUAACAGCUCACUAGUCGAGGAGUUUGGCGUGGAUAAUAAUCGGGCAUAAGUAUUCUACCGAAGCUUUGGGAUGAGAAAUCAUCGGUAGGGGAGCAUUCCACUCUGCGUCGAAGGUGAAGCGCGAGCUUUGCUGGAGCGUGUGGAAAAGCAAAUGUAGGUAUAAGUAACGAUAAAGGGGGUGGGAAACCCCCUCGCCGAAAGACUAAGGUUUCCUGAUCAACGCUAAUCGGAUCAGGGUAAGUCGGGUCCUAAGGCUCAGCCGAACGGCGAGGCCGAUGGCAGAACCGGUUAAUAUUCCGGUACUACCUGUGGGAGUGACGUGGAGACGGAGUCGUGACAGCGCCGCGGACUGACGGAAUAGUCCGUUGAAGGGUGUAGAUGCUGAUUGUUCCAGGCAAAUCCGGAGCAAGAGUCGAACCUGAUAGUAUGGAGCGUUCUUAGAACAAUCCAAUAGUGCGUGUAAUCAUACUUCCAAGAAAAUCCGCUAAACUUAAUCCUGCAGGUACCCGUACCGCAAACGGACACACGUAGUCGGGUUGAAUAUACUAAGGCGCUUGAGUGAUUCACGGUUAAGGAACUAGGCAAACUGACCCUGUAACUUCGGGAUAAAGGGUCCUCGCUUUACGGCGAGGCGCAGAGAAUAGGUCCAGGCAACUGUUUAACAAAAACACAGGGCUGUGCAAAAUUGAAAGAUGAAGUAUACAGCCUGACACCUGCCCGGUGCUGGAAGGUUAAGAGGAGAUGUCAUCGCAAGAGAAGCAUUGAAUUGAAGCCCCAGUAAACGGCGGCCGUAACUAUAACGGUCCUAAGGUAGCGAAAUUCCUUGUCGGGUAAGUUCCGACCUGCACGAAUGGUGUAAUGAUCUGGACGCUGUCUCAACCGUGAGCUCAGUGAAAUUGUAGUAUCGGUGAAGAUGCCGAUUACCCGCGAUGGGACGAAAAGACCCCGUGAACCUUUACUAUAGCUUAACAUUGAAUUUGGGUAAUUGAUGUGUAGGAUAGGCCGGAGGCUUCGAAGCGGGCACGCCAGUGUCCGUGGAGCCGCUGUUGAAAUACGGCCCUUUGAUUAUUUGAGUUCUAACCCGUUGUUGCGGGGACACUGUUUGGUGGGUAGUUUGACUGGGGUGGUCGCCUCCAAAAGUGUAACGGAGGCUUCUAAAGGUGCCCUCACGACGAUUGGUAACCGUCGGCAGAGUGUAAUGGCAUAAGGGCGCUUGACUGGGAGACUUACAAGUCGAUCAGGUAGGAAACUAGAGCAUAGUGAUCCGGUGUUUCCGUAUGGAAGGGACAUCGCUCAAAGGAUAAAAGGUACUCCGGGGAUAACAGGCUGAUCCCUCCCAAGAGCUCAUAUCGACGGAGUGGUUUGGCACCUCGAUGUCGGCUCGUCACAUCCUGGGGCUGGAGAAGGUCCCAAGGGUUGGGCUGUUCGCCCAUUAAAGUGGCACGCGAGCUGGGUUCAGAACGUCGUGAGACAGUUCGGUCUCUAUCUAUCGUGGGCGCAUGAAAUUUGCGUGGCUCUGACACUAGUACGAGAGGACCGUGUUGGACUGACCUCUGGUUUACCGGUUGUGCCGCCAGGUGCAUUGCCGGGUAUCUAAGUCGGGAUUGGAUAAGUGCUGAAAGCAUCUAAGUACGAAGCCAGCCACAAGAUUAGAUUUCUCAGGGUCGUUGUAGACUACAACGUUGAUAGGAUGCAGGUGUACAGGCAGCGAUGUCAUAGCCGAGCAUUACUAAUUGCCCGUCCACUUUUU
rnacentral:rRNA from 1 species